rnacentral:rRNA from 1 species
GUAGUCUCGCACAGAUGCAUAUCAAUAAGCGGAGGAAAAGAAACUAACAAGGAUUCCCCUAGUAACGGCGAGUGAAGCGGGAAGAGCUCAAAUUUGAAAUCUUAAAGGGUUUCCCUUUACGAAUUGUAGUUUAAAGAAGUGUUUUCUGUUGAGGUUUUGGUAAAAGUUCUUUGGAAUAGGACAUCAUAGAGGGUGAGAAUCCCGUAUUUGACCUUUACUUUCAACUUUGUGAUACACUUUCAAGAGUCGGAUUGUUUGGGAAUGCAGUCCAAAAUGGGUGGUAAAUUUCAUCUAAAGCUAAAUAUUGGCGAGAGACCGAUAGCGAACAAGUACCGUGAGGGAAAGAUGAAAAGAACUUUGAAAAGAGAGUUAAACAGUACGUGAAAUUGUCAAAAGGGAAGCGUUUGACACCAGUGUUGUUUUUCUGAAAAUCAAUUAAAGAACUGUUUAUGCUAAGUUGUUUAGACUUUAUCAGCUAUCUGCUUAGUUUUGAGCUUUUCUUUAAUGCACUUUUCAGUUAACAAGUCAACAUCAAUUUCUUUUGCUGUAAAAAAGCUUGAGGAAGGUGGCUUGAGAUUCGUCUUAAGUGUUUAUAGCCUCUUGCCUAUGCAGUCGGAGAGAUUGAGGUCUGCAGCGUAGAUCCUUCGGGGCUAAAUGCAUUUGUGCUAAGUUAUAGCAUUUUAUAGACAACUUGUUGACUAUGAUUUGUCUUGUAGCUUACUCGCUUAUGUUAUUUUACCUACGCUUAGGAUGUUGAACUCUAUCACACACAG